GAUGAACGCUGGCGGCGUGCCUAAUACAUGCAAGUCGAGCGAACGGACGAGAAGCUUGCUUCUCUGAUGUUAGCGGCGGACGGGUGAGUAACACGUGGAUAACCUACCUAUAAGACUGGGAUAACUUCGGGAAACCGGAGCUAAUACCGGAUAAUAUUUUGAACCGCAUGGUUCAAAAGUGAAAGACGGUCUUUCUGUCCCUUAUAGAUGGAUCCGCGCUGCAUUAGCUAGUUGGUAAGGUAACGGCUUACCAAGGCAACGAUGCAUAGCCGACCUGAGAGGGUGAUCGGCCACACUGGAACUGAGACACGGUCCAGACUCCUACGGGAGGCAGCAGUAGGGAAUCUUCCGCAAUGGGCGAAAGCCUGACGGAGCAACGCCGCGUGAGUGAUGAAGGUCUUCGGAUCGUAAAACUCUGUUAUUAGGGAAGAACAUAUGUGUAAGUAACUGUGCACAUCUUGACGGUACCUAAUCAGAAAGCCACGGCUAACUACGUG
rnacentral:rRNA from 1 species